GACUUUAAACUACUCUGGUGGCCUAGUGGUUAGAUUGUCUGCCUUGGAUGUGGGAGGUAGUGGGUUUGAACCCCAUCCAAGUCG